rnacentral:rRNA from 1 species
GGGCGUAUGGUGGAUGCCUAGACACUAAAGAGCGAUGAAGGACGUGGCGUAGCGACGAUACGUCUCGGGGAGGUGCGUAGCAACCUGUGAUCCGGGAAUUUCCGAAUGGGGAAACCUUCUGUGGUAAACCCACAGAGCCACCGCAAGGUGGAGCAUACCCGCUGAAGUAAAACAUUUCAGUAGGCGGAGGAAAAGAAAAUAACGAGCGUAAGCUCAACAUUCCCUAAGUAGCGGCGAGUGAAAGGGGAAGAGCCCAAACCUUGCGCAUCACAUUGUGUGUGAUGCUGAUAUUUAAAUAUUUAAAAGUUUAAAUUUAAGCAUCGUGCAUAGCGCGAUGCGUGAGGGGUCAUAAGACAGAGACAUUUUUGUCAAUCACAAAGCGCAGUUUGCGUUUUGUGAUUUACAAAUAAAGAGUUACAAAUUGAUUUGCUAGCUGAAUCUUCUGGAAAGUAGACCCAAAGACGGUGAUAGGCCGGUAAGCGAAAGCUAAUCAACUCUUGUUUUUGUUCUUGAGUAACUCGAGGAAUCAACGCUUUGAGUGAAUUCGCCUGUACUAUCAGGCAAGGCUAAAUAUCUUUAGUGAUCGAUAGUGAACUAGUACCGUGAGGGAAAGGUGAAAAGCAGGCCGUUGAGGCCGAUGAAAUAGAACCUGAAACCAUAUGUCUACAAGGAAUCGAAGCUCCUUCGCUGUCGCUCCGAGCUUCUAAAUUUAAAGUGUAAAUAUCAAAAUGGAAAAUGACAAUGUAAAAUGUAAAAAUUUUAACAUUAAAUCAUUUUUUAGAUUUUAAUUUGUAGUUUUGAUUUUUGCAUUUUGAUUUUUGAAUUCGGAGCUCCGAGCGAUAGCGAGAGCGACGGUGUGCCUAUUGAAGAAUGAGCCAACGACUUUAUGUGUACGGCAAGGGUAAGUCCUUCUGGGAUGGACCCGUAGGGAAACCGAGUGUUAAUAGCGCGCGCUUGCGUAACUUAGGUUGCGCCGGCAAGUCGUACGUGUAAGACCCGAAGCCGGGUGAGCUUGCCCUGGGCAGGUUGAAGUUCCGCGAAAGUGGAAUGGAGGACCGAACCGGUAGGUUGUUCAAAACCUUCGGAUGACCUGGGGUAAGGAGUGAAAAGCUAAUCGAACUCGGUAAUAGCUGGUUCUCUCCGAAAUAGCUUUAGGGCUAGCCUUCGGCAAAAACAGUAAGGGGGUAGAGCUACUGGUUCGGAAGUAAAGGGCGAAAGCUCAGCUUCCGAGUCAAACUCCGAAUACCUUAUUGGACGCCGGGGAGUUAGACUAUGGGGGCUAAGCUCCGUAGUCGCAAGGGAAACAGCCCAGAUCGCAGUCUAAGGUCCCUAAAUUUAUACUUAGUGUCAAAGGUAGUGUUUAACCUCAGACAGAUAGGAGGUUGGCUUAGAGGUAGUCAUCCUUUAAAGAGUGUGUAACAACUCACUAUUCGAAACCUCUCUGCACAAAUUGCACAAGCAUUGGCCAGUAAGAUUUUUUCUUCUGGCUAGGCGCGAGAAGCGAUGCGUACCAAGGGUACGUGAGCGACAAGUAACAACGCCAGAAUAAAAAAUAUUCUGGCUCAAAGAGAAGCUCAAAAUUAAGCGAUCUCUUUGUUGCUCCUCCUCAGUGUACUCUCCGAGUACACUUUCGUUGUUGCGUCGCGAGCUCAACUUAAUUUUGAGCUUCCAAUGCGUUGCGGAAUUUGUGCAGAGAGGUUGGUUAAGCGCGCCGAAAAUGUAUCGGGGCUUGAAGUAUAAUACCGAAGACGCGGAUGCCUUGUGCUUUGCACAAGGAAAUUUCUAAUUUCUAAUUUCUAAACAAUUUCUAAAUUCAAAAUUCCAAACCCAAAACGAAAGACUAUUACAGUUUUCUUGUUUUGAGUUUUAGAUUUUAUUUUUGAAUUUGUUUAGGAUUUAGAGUUUAGGAUUUCCUCGCGCAGAGCGCGAGGCGUGGUAGGAGAGCAUUCCUUACUGCGUUGAAGCCGGACCCGCGAGGGCCGGUGGAGUGUAAGGAAGAGAAAAUGUUGGCAUGAGUAACCACUAUCUUAAUGCGAAAUUAAGACCCCGAAAAUCUAAGGUUUCCGUGGCACUGGCAAUCAACCACGGGUUAGGCGGUCCUAAGCUAAUGGCGAAAGCCGCAAGCGAAGGGUAGCAGGCUAAUAUUCCUGCCCUGCCUAGAAAGCGUGAUGAAGGGACGAAGGAGAUAAGGAUACGCGGAUUAAUGGUUUUCACGUUCUUUGCGUGAAGCGUACUUGAGCAGGCAAAUCCACUCAAGUGUGUUUAAUCACAUUACGCGAACGUCGAGAGAAGGUGAAGGUUUUCCUUUACCAACGUAUCUGAAGUGCCUUCCAAGAAAAGCUUCUAAGCUUAUUUUUAGGCAUCCGUACCGGAAACCGACACAGGUGGAUAGGGCGAGUAGCCCAAGGGGAACGAGUGAUUCUUCGUUAAGGAACUCGGCAAAAAAGCGGCCGUAAGUUCGCAAUAAGGCCUUCCCCCACCACUUUUACUAGAAACGUUUAUUAACUUUUUUUGUAAAUCAAUUUAUUUAUAAAAUAUUUUAAUCAGUUGUUUGUUGUAAAAGUGGUGGGGGACGCAGCUAAAGUAUCUCUGGCGACUGUUUACCAAAAACACAGCUCCCUGCUAACUCGCAAGAGGAUGUAUAGGGGGUGACGCCUGACCGAUGCGAGAAGGUUAACGAUGGAGGUCGUGUCGCUACACGACACUUAAAUCAAAUCUCAAAAAUAAAAUCUCAAAAUUUAUGAAGCUUAAAAAAUAAAAUAAUUUUAUUUUUUAAGCAACCAGAUUUUUUAGAUUUUAGAUAUUAGAUUUUAUAUUGAGUGCCGCGUAGCGGCACGGCUUAUUGUCCGAAGCCCUCGUCAAUGUCAGCCGUAACUAUAACGGUUCUAAGGUGAAUUGUUUUGCCUUAGUAAAAUCUGGCCAAAUGCUGGAACAUCUGGAGAAUCCAAGGCUACUAAGGUAUAAUACGACCAUAGAAAAUAUGGCAAAAAUAUCUAGUAAAAAAGCUAUUGGUGCAGACAAUCAGCAGGAAAGGCUAGGAAUGUCUUAUUGGAUUAGCGGAUUUACUGAUGGAGAAGGUUGUUUUUCUAUCGCGGUGAUAAAAAAUUCAACUACACGUUUUGGGAAACAAAUAUUUCCUGAAUUUGUUAUUACGCAAGGCGCAAAAAGCAUUAAAGCAUUAGAAGAAAUUAAAAUUUUUUUUAAUUGUGGCAAUAUUUUUGUUAAUAAGCGUUAUGAUAAUCACAACGAAUUUCUAUAUCGGUAUUGUGUCCGCUCGCUCCAAGAGCUUCAAGAGAAAAUUAUUCCUUUUUUUGAUAAAUUUCCAUUGCAUACUUAUAAACAAAAUGACUUUCUGAUUUUUAAGAAAGUUGUUCAAAUGAUGCUUCUAAAAAAGCAUUUAGAAAGUAAUGGGAGGAAAAUUAUUUUGAAACUUAUUGAAAAAUCUAAUCGUAAAAAAAGACGUUUCUAGAAUCCUCAGAGACUAUACGCCAGACUCACUAAUGUAGUGAGAUGAUAUAGUCCGAACUGCAUGGCGACAUGCAGAGAUAGACAGAAAUGAUCUAUCCAAUCCGUCAAUUGGCGGAUCGUAACACUUUUGAGCGCAAUUCCUUUUCGGGUAGGUUGAACUUGCCCCUUUGCGUCGUAAGGCGCAUCGAUCAGUGACUGUAUCGGUGAAACCUGUGUUCUCUCUAAUUCGCGCGAAUAGGCGAAUAAGGGAAUAUGGCAAUACCGAGGGAAGUCGCCCUGAGUUUAUCAAAGGGUUGACCCCGUAGAGACUACACGUCGCUUUCCUAACAGCAGAUUUUUAUAAUUUGUUGUGGAAAAAGAUAUAGUCCGAUCCUUUUCUAAAGAAAAGUGCUUGCAUUAUGCGUGUGCAUCAGCGUAGAUUUUAAAUCUGCGUUAAUCAGCGUAUUUGCGUAGCAGAUUAUGAAGUUCCGAAGCGCACGAAUGGCGUAACGACUGGAGAACUGUCUCAACGAAGAGCUCGGUGAAAAUG